rnacentral:rRNA from 1 species
UACGAAGGGGGCUAGCGUUGCUCGGAAUCACUGGGCGUAAAGGGUGCGUAGGCGGGUCUUUUAAGUCAGAGGUGAAAUCCUGGAGCUCAACUCCAGAACUGCCUUUGAUACUGAGGGUCUUGAGUAUGACAGAGGUGAGUGGAACUCCGAGUGUAGCGGUGGAAUGCGUAGAGAUUCGGAAGAACACCCAUGACGAAGGCAGCAUUCUGGGCUCAACCUGACGCUGAGGAGCGAAAGCCAGGGGAGCGAACGGG